rnacentral:lncRNA from 1 species
UGAUUUUUAUGCCCCACCUACGAUAGUAGAGGGGCAUUAUGUUUUCUGGUCUGUGGCUCCGUUCGUCUGUGCGUCCGUUCAGGUUAAAGUUUUUGGUCAAGGUAGUUUUUGAUGAAGCUGAAGUCCAAUCAACUUGAAACUUAGUACACUUGUUGCUUAUGAUAUGAUCUUUCUAAUUUUAAAGCCAAAUUAGACUUUUGACCCCAAUUUCACGGUCCACUGAACAUAGAAAAUGAAAGUGGGAGUUUCAGGUUUAAGUUUUUUGUCAAGGUACUUUUUGAUGAAGCUGAAGUCCAAUCAACUUGAAAC